rfam:Oreochromis niloticus linkage group LG12, whole genome shotgun sequence.
GGGGGUAUAGCUCAGUGGAACAGCAUUUGACUGCAGAUCAAGAGGUCUCUGGUUCAAUUCCGGAUGCCCCCU